UGUGGGGGGGGUGCCCUUAUCAUGGCAAGUCGAAGCGAAUCGAUGGGAGCUUGCUCCCUGAGAUUAGCGGCGGACGGGUGAGUAACACGUGGGCAACCUGCCUAUAAGACUGGGAUAACUUCGGGAAACCGGAGCUAAUACCGGAUACGUUCUUUUCUCGCAUGAGAGAAGAUGGAAAGACGGUUUUGCUGGCCCUUAUAGAUGGGCCCGCGGCGCAUUAACUAGUUGGGGAGGGAAUGGCUCACCCAGGCGACCAAGCCUAACCCAACUGAGAGGGUGAUCGGCCCCACUGGGACUGAAACACGGCCCCAACUCCUACGGGAGGGAGCAGUAGGGAAUCUUCCGCAAUGGACGAAAGUCUGACGGAACAACCCCCCGUGAACGAAAAAAGGCUUCCGGUCCUAAAGUUCUGGUGGUAAGGAAGAACAAGUACCAGAAUAACUGCUGGGACCUUGACGGGACCUAACCAGAAAGCCACCGCUAACUACGUGCCAACAGCCGCGGUAAUACCUAAGUGGCAAGCGUUGUCCGGAAUUAUUGGGCGUAAAGCGCGCGCAAGUGGUUCCUUAAGUCUGAAGUGAAAGCCCACGGCUCAACCGUGGAAGGUCAUUGGAAACUGGGGAACUUGAAUGCAGAAAAAGAAAGUGGAAUUCCCAGUGUAACGGUGAAAUGCGUAAAAAUUUGGAAGAACACCCGUGGCGAAAGCCACUUUCUGGUCUGUAACUGACACUGAAGCGCGAAAGCCUGGGGAGCAAACAGGAAUAGAUACCCUGGUAGUCCACCCCCGUAACGAUGAAUGCCUAAUGUUAAAGGGUUUCCGCCCUUUAAUGCUGCAGCUUACGCAUUAACACUCCCCCUGGGGAGACGGCCGCAAGGUGAAACCCAAGGAAUGACGGGGCCGCACACCGUGGAGCAGUGGUUAAUUCAAGCACGCGAAAACCUACCAGGCUUGAAUCCUCUGACACCCUAAAAUAGGCGUUCCCUUCGGGGACAAAUGAC
rnacentral:rRNA from 2 species